rnacentral:rRNA from 1 species
GACGAACCGUGCGAACGUUGUUCGGAAUCACUGGGCUUAAAGGGAGCGUAGGUGGGUUGGUAAGUCAGUGGUGAAAUCCCCGAGCUUAACUCGGGAACUGCCAUUGAUACUAUCAGUCUUAAUACCGUGGAGGUCAGCGGAAUAUGUCAUGUAGCGGUGAAAUGCUUAGAUAUGACAUAGAACACCAAUUGCGAAGGCAGCUGGCUACACGAUUAUUGACACUGAGGCUCGAAAGCGUGGGGAUCAAACAGG